rnacentral:rRNA from 1 species
CGGGAUUGCCUUAGUACGGCGAUGUGAAGCGGCAAAAGCUCAAAUUUGAAAUCUGGUACCUUCGGUGCCCGAGUUGUAAUUUGGAGAGGGCAACUUUGGGGCCGUUCCUUGUCUAUGUUCCUUGGAACAGGACGUCAUAGAGGGUGAGAAUCCCGUGUGGCGAGGAGUGCGGUUCUUUGUAAAGUGCCUUCGAAGAGUCGAGUUGUUUGGGAAUGCAGCUCUAAGUGGGUGGUAAAUUCCAUCUAAAGCUAAAUAUUGGCGAGAGACCGAUAGCGAACAAGUACAGUGAUGGAAAGAUGAAAAGAACUUUGAAAAGAGAGUGAAAAAGUACGUGAAAUUGUUGAAAGGGAAGGGCAUUUGAUCAGACAUGGUGUUUUGUGCCCUCUGCUCCUUGUGGGUAGGGGAAUCUCGCAUUUCACUGGGCCAGCAUCAGUUUUGGUGG